UACGUAGGGUGCGAGCGUUAAUCGGAAUUACUGGGCGUAAAGCGUGCGCAGGCGGUCUGUUAAGACCGAUGUGAAAUCCCCGGGCUUAACCUGGGAACUGCAUUGGUGACUGGCAGGCUUUGAGUGUGGCAGAGGGAGGUAGAAUUCCACGUGUAGCAGUGAAAUGCGUAGAGAUGUGGAGGAAUUCCGAUGGCGAAGGCAGCCUCCUGGGCCAACACUGACGCUCAUGCACGAAAGCGUGGGGAGCAAACAGG
rnacentral:rRNA from 1 species